AACGAACGCUGGCGGCAUGCCUAACACAUGCAAGUCGAACGAGACCUUCGGGUCUAGUGGCGCACGGGUGCGUAACGCGUGGUAACCUGCCCUUAGGUUCGGAAUAACUCCCCGAAAGGGGUGCUAAUACCGGAUAAUGUCUUCGGACCAAAGAUUUAUCGCCUUUGGAUGGGCCCGCGUUGGAUUCGCUAGUUGGUAGGGUAAAAGCCUACCAAGGCGACGUUCCAUAGCUGGUCUGAGAGGAUGAUCAGCCACACUGGGACUGAGACACGGCCCAGACUCCUACGGGAGGCAGCAGUGGGGAAUAUUGGACAAGGGGGGAAAGCGUGAUACAGCAAUGCCGCGUGAGUGAUGAAGGCCUUAGGGUUGUAAAGCUCUUUUACCCGGGAUGAUAAUGACAGUACCGGGAGAAUAAGCUCCGGCUAACUCCGUG
rnacentral:rRNA from 1 species